rnacentral:rRNA from 1 species
UACCAGCUCUCCGAGUGGUAGGGAUGAUUAUUGGGCUUAAAGCGUCCGUAGCCGGCUUAGCAAGUUUCCUGUUAAACCCAGCGACUCAAUCGUUGGAUCGCGGGAAAUACUACUAGGCUAGGAGGCGGGAGAGGUCAACGGUACUUCUGGGGUAGGGGUGAAAUCCUAUAAUCCCGGGAGGACCACCAGUGGCGAAGGCUGUUGACUAGAACGCGCUCGACGGUGAGGGACGAAAGCUGGGGUAGCAAACCGGAUUAGAUACCCGGGUAGUCCCAGCUGUAAACGAUGCGAGCUAGGUGUUGGGGUGGCUACGUGCCACUUCAGUGCCGCAGGGAAGCCAUUAAGCUCGCCGCCUGGGGAGUACGGCCGCAAGGCUGAAACUUAAAGGAAUUGGCGGGGAGCACCACAAGGCGUGAAGCUUGCGGUUC